rnacentral:rRNA from 1 species
AUUGAACGCUGGCGGCAGGCUUAACACAUGCAAGUCGAACGGUAACAUGAGUGCUUGCACUUGAUGACGAGUGGCGGACGGGUGAGUAAUGUAUGGGGAUCUGCCGAAUGGAGGGGGACAACAGUUGGAAACGACUGCUAAUACCGCAUAAAGUUGAGAGACCAAAGCAUGGGACCUUCGGGCCAUGCGCCAUUUGAUGAACCCAUAUGGGAUUAGCUAGUUGGUAGGGUAAUGGCUUACCAAGGCGACGAUCUCUAGCUGGUCUGAGAGGAUGACCAGCCACACUGGAACUGAGACACAGUCCAGACUCCUACGGGAGGCAGCAGUGGGGAAUAUUGCACAAUGGGGGAAACCCUGAUGCAGCCAUGCCGCGUGUAUGAAGAAGGCCUUCGGGUUGUAAAGUACUUUCGGUGAUGAGGAAGGUGGUGUAUCUAAUAGGUGCAUCAAUUGACGUUAAUUACAGAAGAAGCACCGGCUAACUCCGUGCCAGCAGCCGCGGUAAUACGGAGGGUGCGAGCGUUAAUCGGAAUGACUGGGCGUAAAGGGCAUGUAGGCGGACAAUUAAGUUAGGUGUGAAAGCCCUGGGCUCAACCUAGGAAUUGCACUUAAAACUGGUUAACUAGAGUAUUGUAGAGGAAGGUAGAAUUCCACGUGUAGCGGUGAAAUGCGUAGAGAUGUGGAGGAAUACCGGUGGCGAAGGCGGCCUUCUGGACAGAUACUGACGCUGAGAUGCGAAAGCGUGGGGAGCAAACAGGAUUAGAUACCCUGGUAGUCCACGCCGUAAACGAUGUCGAUUUGGAGUUUGUUGCCUAAAGUGAUGGGCUCC